GCACCAUUAGCUCAGUCGGUAGAGCACCUGACUCUUAAUCAGGGUGUCCUGGGUUCGAGUCCCAGAUGGUGUACCA
rnacentral:tRNA from 1 species